GAUAUCCUCAUGGUUUCGCGUCUGUCUGAGUCUCAGAGAUGACACCUUUCUCUUGGCUGUCUGAGCAU
rnacentral:snoRNA from 7 species